rnacentral:rRNA from 1 species
CCUACGGGGGGCAGCAGUGGGGAAUAUUGGACAAUGGGCGAAAGCCUGAUCCAGCCAUGCCGCGUGUGUGAAGAAGGCCUUCGGGUUGUAAAGCACUUUCAGUGGGGAAGAAAGCCUUGGGGCUAAUACCCUCGAGGAAGGACAUCACCACAGAAGAAGCACCGGCUAACUCCGUGCCAGCAGCCGCGGUAAUACGGAGGGUGCGAGCGUUAAUCGGAAUUACUGGGCGUAAAGCGCGCGUAGGCGGUCUGAUAAGCCGGUUGUGAAAGCCCCGGGCUCAACCUGGGAACGGCAUCCGGACCUGUCAGGCUAGAGUGCAGGAGAGGAAGGUAGAAUUCCCGGUGUAGCAGUGAAAUGCGUAGAGAUCGGGAGGAAUACCAGUGGCGAAGGCGGCCUUCUGGACUGACACUGACGCUGAGGUGCGAAAGCGUGGGUAGCAAACAGGAUUAGAUACCCGGGUAGUC